rnacentral:rRNA from 1 species
GGGUGUUAGGGCACGACACCGGAGAGGGAGCCUGAGAAACGGCUACCACAUCCAAGGAUGGCAGCAGGCGCGCAAAUUACCCAAUCCCGACACGGGGAGGUAGUGACAAUAAAUAACAAUACGGGGUUCUUUAGGAUCUCGUAAUUGGAAUGAGUACAAUUUAAAUCUCUUAACGAGGAACAAUUGGAGGGCAAGUCUGGUGCCAGCAGCCGCGGUAAUUCCAGCUCCAAUAGCGUAUAUUAAAGUUGUUGCAGUUAAAAAGCUCGUAGUUGAAUUUCGGGGUUAGUAGGUUGGUCAUGCCUCUGGUAUGUACUGGUCUCACUGAUUCCUCCUUCCUUAUGAACCGUAAUGCCAUUAAUUUGGUGUUGCGGGGAAUUUGGACUGUUACUUUGAAAAAAUUAGAGUGUUUAAAGCAAGCUAACGCUUGAAUACAUUAGCAUGGAAUAAUGAAAUAGGACGUUCGAUCUUAUUUUGUUGGUUUCUAGGAUUGACGUAAUGAUUAAUAGGGAUAGUUGGGGGCAUUAGUAUUCAAUUGUCAGAGGUGAAAUUCUUGGAUUUAUUGAAGACUAACUACUGCGAAAGCAUUUGCCAAGGAUGUUUUCAUUAAUCAAGAACGAAAGUUAGGGGAUCGAAGACGAUCAGAUACCGUCGUAGUCUUAACCAUAAACUAUGCCGACUAGGGAUCGGAUGAUGUUAAUUUUUUAAUGACUCAUUCGGCGCCUUACGGGAAACCAAA